GAUGAACGCUGGCGGCGUGCCUAAUACAUGCAAGUCGAGCGAACAGAUGAGGAUCUUGCUCCUCUGACGUUAGCGGCGGACGGGUGAGUAACACGUGGAUAACCUACCUAUAAGACUGGGAUAACUUCGGGAACCCGGAGCUAAUACCGGAUAAGAUAUUGAACCGCAUGGUUCAGUAGUGAAAGACGGUUUUGCUGUCACUUAUAGAUGGAUCCGCGCCGCAUUAGCUAGUUGGUAAGGUAACGGCUUACCAAGGCAACGAUGCGUAGCCGACCUGAGAGGGUGAUCGCCCACACUGGACCUGAGACACGGUCCAGACUCCUACGGGAGGCAGCAGUAGGGAAUCUUCCGCAAUGGGCGAAAGCCUGACGGAGCAACGCCGCGUGAGUGAUGAAGGUCUUCGGAUCGUAAAACUCUGUUAUUAGGGAAGAACAAAUGUGUAAGUAACUAUGCACGUCUUGACGGUACCUAAUCAGAAAGCCACGGCUAACUACGUG
rnacentral:rRNA from 1 species